AGUGAACGCUGGCGGUAGGCCUAACGCAUGCAAGUCGAACGGCAGCACAGGAGAGCUUGCUCUCUGGGUGGCGAGUGGCGGACGGGUGAGGAAUACAUCGGAAUCUACUCUGUCGUGGGGGAUAACGUAGGGAAACUUACGCUAAUACCGCAUACGACCUACGGGUGAAAGCAGGGGACCUUCGGGCCUUGCGCGAUUGAAUGAGCCGAUGGCGGAUUAGCUAGUUGGCGGGGUAAAGGCCCACCAAGGCGACGAUCCGUAGCUGGUCUGAGAGGAUGAUCAGCCACACUGGAACUGAGACACGGUCCAGACUCCUACGGGAGGCAGCAGUGGGGAAUAUUGGACAAUGGGCGCAAGCCUGAUCCAGCCAUACCGCGUGGGUGAAGAAGGCCUUCGGGUUGUAAAGCCCUUUUGUUGGGAAAGAAAUCCAGCUGGCUAAUACCCGGUUGGGAUGACGGUACCCAAAGAAUAAGCACCGGCUAACUUCGUGCCAGCAGCCGCCGCCG
rnacentral:rRNA from 1 species